rnacentral:rRNA from 1 species
AGUGAACGCUGGCGGCAGGCCUAACACAUGCAAGUCGAACGACAGCACAAUAAGAUCGUUCUCUUACGGUUGGCGAGGGGCGGACGGGUAAGGAAUGCAUCGGAAUCUACUUUUUCUGGGGGGAUAACGGAGGGAAACUUACACUAAUACCGCAUACAACCUACGGGUUAAAUCAAUGGAUCUUCGGACCUUUCGCGAUUGAAUGAGCCGAUGUCGGAUUAGCUAGUUUGCGGGGUAAAGGCCCACCAAGGCAACGAUACGUAGCUGGUCUGAGAGGAUGAUCAGCCACACUGGAACUGAGACACGGUCCAGACUCCUACGGGAGGCAGCAGUGGGGAAUAUUGGACAAUGGGCGAAAGCCUGAUCCAGCCAUACCGCGUGGGUGAAGAAGGCCUUCGGGUUGUAAAGCCCUUUUGUUGGGAAAGAAAAGAAGUAGGUUAAUCUAUCGAUGUCUUGACGGUACCCAAAGAAUAAGCACCGGCUAACUUCGUG